GAUGAACGCUAGCGACAGGCUUAACACAUGCAAGUCGAGGGGCAGCGAGCGGGUAGCGAUACCCGCGUCGGCGACCGGCGCACUGGUGAGUAACACGUAUGCAACCUGCCCUCCGCAGGGGAAUAAACCGGGGAAAUCUGGUCUAAUGCCCCAUAGUCCCCGGGUCCGCAUGGGCCCGGGGGGAAAGAUCCGUCGGCGGGGGAUGGGCAUGCGGCGCAUUAGCUUGUUGGCGGGGCAGCGGCCCACCAAGGCGACGAUGCGUAGGGGUUCUGAGAGGAAGGUCCCCCACACUGGUACUGAGACACGGACCAGACUCCUACGGGAGGCAGCAGUGAGGAAUAUUGGUCAAUGGGCGGGAGCCUGAACCAGCCAAGUCGCGUGAGGGAUGACGGUCCUACGGAUUGUAAACCUCUUUAGCCGGGGAGUAACGUGUCCCACGCGUGGGGCAGUGAGAGUACCCGGAGAAUAAGCAUCGGCUAACUCCGUGCCAGCAGCCGCGGUAAUACGGAGGAUGCGAGCGUUAUCCGGAUUUAUUGGGUUUAAAGGGUGCGCAGGCGGCGCUCCAAGUCAGCGGUCAAAUGCCCGGGCUCAACCCGGGUCCGCCGUUGAUACUGGGGUGCUCGAGUGCGUGCGAGGGAGGCGGAAUGCGUGGUGUAGCGGUGAAAUGCAUAGAUAUCACGCAGAACCCCGAUUGCGAAGGCAGCCUUCCAGCACGCCACUGACGCUGAGGCACGAAAGCGUGGGUAUCGAACAGG
rnacentral:rRNA from 1 species